AAGAAUUGAGAUACAACAAUCUUUGACUGACUUUAGGUAUUGGUGGCGAUCGAAGGUGGACAGCAAGAUCGAAGCUCAGCAAGAUUGAAGAUUGUUCGAGGAAGAAGGAGUUCGCCGUUGACUAAAAGGUUUAUCUGAACAGCUAGUUGUCAAGAUGAAGGUGACUCGCCCGGCCAAAUUCAAAAUGGCGAUGCCAAAGAAAACCAUCCACGUGGACCG
rnacentral:lncRNA from 1 species